rnacentral:snoRNA from 1 species
AUACCAUGAUGAGGACAUCUCUUGAGUAACUCCAUAAAUCUUUCCCAUGCAUCGUACAAACUCUCAUCUUGAAGUUUAUGAAAAGAUGUGAUCUUAUUCCUCCAUUU